AUUGAACGCUGGCGGCAUGCCUUACACAUGCAAGUCGAACGGCAGCAUGAUCUAGCUUGCUAGAUUGAUGGCGAGUGGCGAACGGGUGAGUAAUACAUCGGAACGUGCCCUGUAGUGGGGGAUAACUAGUCGAAAGAUUAGCUAAUACCGCAUACGACCUGAGGGUGAAAGUGGGGGACCGCAAGGCCUCAUGCUAUAGGAGCGGCCGAUGUCUGAUCAGCUAGUUGGUGAGGUAAAGGCUCACCAAGGCGACGAUCAGUAGCUGGUCUGAGAGGACGAUCAGCCACACUGGGACUGAGACACGGCCCAGACUCCUACGGGAGGCAGCAGUGGGGAAUUUUGGACAAUGGGCGAAAGCCUGAUCCAGCAAUGCCGCGUGUGUGAAGAAGGCCUUCGGGUUGUAAAGCACUUUUGUCCGGAAAGAAAUGGCUCUGGUUAAUACCUGGGGUCGAUGACGGUACCGGAAGAAUAAGAACCGGCUAACUACGUG
rnacentral:rRNA from 1 species